rnacentral:misc_RNA from 1 species
GUCUCACUAAAUCUGGGCCCACUACUUUCUCCUCACCCAUUUCUGUCCAAUGUAAGGGAGUCCUACAUCUCCUCCCAUACAAUGCUUCAUAUGGUGCCAUUUUUAUGCUGGCUUGGUAGCUAUUGUUAUAAGCAAACUCUACUAAAGGAAGAUACUUCUCCCAACUUCCUUCAAAAUCAAUGAUGCAGCUUCUCAACAUAUCCUCCAAUACCUAUUAUGUGAUUCAUGUCAUUUUUAGUAGUCUUUUAACAUUUAUAAUAAUUUACUAGAUUCUAAGGGUUACCUGAAUCACCCGUUCUGACUGUCCAUCCGUCUGUGGAUGAAAAGCCGUACUGAAGUGUAGUCGAGUGCCUAAAGACUCCUGUAGCCUCUUCCAAAACCUCGAAGUAAAUCUCGGGUCUCGGUCAGAUAUGAUCGAUGUUGGCACUCCAUGUAGCCGGACUAUCUCAUCUAUGUAAAUUUCUGCAAAUCUCUCUAAUGAGUAGCUGGUUCUAACUGGUAGGAAAUGAGCUGACUUGGUCAAUCUAUCCACAAUCACCCAUAUAGUAUCAUGCUUCCUCUGUGUCAAUGGUAGCCCAGUCACAAAAUCCAUGGUAAUGCGGUCCCAUUUCCAUUCUGGUAUGGAUAUAGGUUGCAACAACCCUGAUGGAACCUGAUGCUCAGCCUUAACCUGCUGGCAUGUCAAACAUCUAGUCACAAAAUCACCAAUCUCUUUCUUCAUUCCAGGCCACCAAUAAUGUGUUUUCAGGUCUUGGUACAUCUUGGUACUUCCUGGGUGCAUAGCAUGGAAGCUACUGUGCGCCUCUUUCAAGAUAUUCUUCUUCAGUUCCUCAUCUCUUGGUACACAUAUUCUGCCUUUAUAGUACAGGCACCCAUCUCCUUUCAACUCAUAAUCAGUCUCCUUCCCCUCUUGAGUUCUGCCCAUAACAGUUAGCAACUUUUCAUCCCUUAACUGUGCCUCUUGUAUUUGCUGUAACAAACUUGGCUUUACACACAACUCAGCCAAAAGUACCCCAUCCUGUGCUAAAGACAGUCGAGCAUUCAAUGCUCUCAAAGCCAUCAUGGACUUCCUGCUUAGGGCGUCAGCCACUAUAUUUGCUUUCCCAGGAUGGUAGUCGAUCACACAGUCAUAGUCUUUAAGGAAUUCAAUCCAUCUCCUCUGUCUCAGAUUGAGUUCCUUCUGAGUUGGCAAGUACUUUAGACUCUUGUGAUCAGUGUAGAUGUAACACUUCUCACCAUAUAGGUAAUGCCUCCAUAUCUUCAAUGCAAAUAUUAUUGCCGCCAAUUCCAGAUCAUGAGUUGGGUAGUUCUUUUCAUGUGGCCUUAGCUGUCUAGAAGCAUAGGCAACUACUUUCCCUUCCUGCAUUAGAACACACCCAAGCCCAUUGUGAGAGGCAUCACUAUAGAUCACAUAGUCUUUCUCUGACUCUGGCUGUGUCAACACUGGAGCUUCUGUAAGCAUAGCCUUCAGCUUCUCAAAGCUGAUUUGACAUUUUUCAUUCCAGUCAA